ACGGAAGGCAGCAGUGAGGAAUAUUGGUCAAUGGACGAGAGUCUGAACCAGCCAAGUAGCGUGCAGGAUGACGGCCCUAUGGGUUGUAAACUGCUUUUGUACGGGAAUAAAGUGACCUACGUGUAGGUUUUUGCAUGUACCGUAAGAAUAAGGACCGGCUAAUUCCGUGCCAGCAGCCGCGGUAAUACGGAAGGUCCGGGCGUUAUCCGGAUUUAUUGGGUUUAAAGGGAGCGUAGGCCGUGCUUUAAGCGUGUUGUGAAAUGUAGGCGCCCAACGUCUGCACUGCAGCGCGAACUGGAGCACUUGAGUACGCAGGAAGUAGGCGGAAUUCGUCGUGUAGCGGUGAAAUGCAUAGAUAUGGCGAAGAACUCCGAUUGCGUAGGCAGCUGACCAGGCCGUAAAUGACGCUCAUGCACGAAAGUGCGGGGAUCGAACAGGAUUAGAUACCCUGGUA
rnacentral:rRNA from 1 species